rnacentral:rRNA from 1 species
UGGGGAAUAUUGCACAAUGGGCGCAAGCCUGAUGCAGCGACGCCGCGUGCGGGAUGGAGGCCUUCGGGUUGUAAACCGCUUUUGUUCAAGGGCAAGGCACGGCUUCGGGCCGUGUUGAGUGGAUUGUUCCGAAUAAGCACCGGCUAACUACCGUGCCAGCAGCCCGCGGUAAUCACAUACU